rnacentral:rRNA from 1 species
UAGGGAAUCUUCCGCAAUGGGCGAAAGCCUGACGGAGCAACGCCGCGUGAGUGAUGAAGGUCUUCGGAUCGUAAAACUCUGUUAUUAGGGAAGAACAAAUGUGUAAGUAACUAUGCACGUCUUGACGGUACCUAAUCAGAAAGCCACGGCUAACUACGUGCCAGCAGCCGCGGUAAUACGUAGGUGGCAAGCGUUAUCCGGAAUUAUUGGGCGUAAAGCGCGCGUAGGCGGUUUUUUAAGUCUGAUGUGAAAGCCCACGGCUCAACCGUGGAGGGGCAUUGGAAACUGGAAGACUUGAGUGCGGAAGAGGAAGGUGGAAGUCCAUGUGUAGCGGUGAAAUGCGCAGAGAUAUGGAGGAACACCAGUGGCGAAGGCGACUUUCUGGUCUGUAACUGACGCUGAUGUGCGAAAACGGGGGGAUCAACCAGG